rnacentral:rRNA from 1 species
AGCGAACGCUGGCGGCAGGCCUAACACAUGCAAGUCGAACGAACUCUUCGGAGUUAGUGGCGGACGGGUGAGUAACACGUGGGAACGUGCCUUUUGGUUCGGAAUAACUCAGGGAAACUUGUGCUAAUACCGAAUGUGCCCUUCGGGGGAAAGAUUUAUCGCCAUUAGAGCGGCCCGCGUCUGAUUAGCUAGUUGGUGAGGUAACGGCUCACCAAGGCGACGAUCAGUAGCUGGUCUGAGAGGAUGACCAGCCACACUGGGACUGAGACACGGCCCAGACUCCUACGGGAGGCAGCAGUGGGGAAUCUUGCGCAAUGGGCGAAAGCCUGACGCAGCCAUGCCGCGUGAAUGAUGAAGGUCUUAGGAUUGUAAAAUUCUUUCACCGGGGACGAAAAUGACGGUACCCGGAGAAGAAGCCCCGGCUAACUUCGUG